AACGAACGCUGGCGGCAUGCCUAACACAUGCAAGUCGAACGAGACCUUCGGGUCUAGUGGCGCACGGGUGCGUAACACGUGGGAAUCUGCCCUUUGCUUCGGAAUAACAGUUAGAAAUGACUGCUAAUACCGGAUGAUGUCGAAAGACCAAAGAUUUAUCGGCAAAGGAUGAGCCCGCGUAGGAUUAGGUAGUUGGUGGGGUAAAGGCCUACCAAGCCGACGAUCCUUAGCUGGUCUGAGAGGAUGAUCAGCCACACUGGGACUGAGACACGGCCCAGACUCCUCGGGGGGGCGGAGGGGGGAAAUAUUGGAAAAGGGGAGAAAGCUUGACCCAGCAAUGCCGGGGGAGGAAUGAGGCCUUUGGGGUUGAAAAGCUUUUUUACAAGGGAGGAAAAUAAGAGUCCCUGGAAAAUAGGCCCGGGCAAACCCCGUC
rnacentral:rRNA from 1 species